UACGGAGGGAGCUAGCGUUGUUCGGAAUUACUGGGCGUAAAGCGCACGUAGGCGGAUCUUUAAGUCAGGGGUGAAAUCCUGGAGCUCAACUCCAGAACUGCCUUUGAUACUGGGGAUCUCGAGUCCGGGAGAGGUGAGUGGAACUCCGAGUGUAGAGGUGAAAUUCGUAGAUAUUCGGAAGAACACCAGUGGCGAAGGCGGCUCACUGGCCCGGUACUGACGCUGAGGUGCGAAAGCGUGGGGAGCAAACAGG
rnacentral:rRNA from 1 species